AUUGAACGCUGGCGGCAGGCCUAACACAUGCAAGUCGAGCGGAUGAAGGGAGCUUUCUCCUGGAUUCAGCGGCGGACGGGUGAGUAAUGCCUAGGAAUCUGCCUGGUAGUGUGGGAUAACGUCCGGAAACGGGCGCUAAUACCGCAUACGUCCUGAGGGUGAAAGUGGGGGAUCUUCGGACCUCACGCUAUCAGAUGAGCCUAGGUCGGAUUAGCUAGUUGGUUGGGUAAAGGCCUACCAAGGCGACGAUCCGUAACUGGUCUGAGAGGAUGAUCAGUCACACUGGAACUGAGACACGGACAAGACUACUACGGGAGGCAGCAGUGGGGAAUAUUGGACAAUGGGCGAAAGCCUGAUCCAGCAAUGCCGCGUGUGUGAAGAAGGUCUUCGGAUUGUAAAGCACUUUAAGUUGGGAGGAAGGGAAGUAAGUUAAUACCUUGCUGUUUUGACGUUACCAACAGAAUAAGCACCGGCUAACUUCGUG
rnacentral:rRNA from 1 species